AAUAGAUACCCGGGUAGUCCACGCCGUAAACGAUGAGUGCUAAGUGUUAGAGGGUUUCCGCCCUUUAGUGCUGCAGCAAACGCAUUAAGCACUCCGCCUGGGGAGUACGGCCGCAAGGCUGAAACUCAAAGGAAUUGACGGGGGCCCGCACAAGCGGUGGAGCAUGUGGUUUAAUUCGAAGCAACGCGAAGAACCUUACCAGGUCUUGACAUCUCCUGACAACCCUAGAGAUAGGGCGUUCCCCUUCGGGGGGACAGGAUGACAGGUGGUGCAUGGUUGUCGUCAGCUCGUGUCGUGAGAUGUUGGGUUAAGUCCCGCAACGAGCGCAACCCUUGAUCUUAGUUGCCAGCAUUCAGUUGGGCACUCUAAGGUGACUGCCGGUGACAAACCGGAGGAAGGUGGGGAUGACGUCAAAUCAUCAUGCCCCUUAUGACCUGGGCUACACACGUGCUACAAUGGAUGGUACAAAGGGCUGCAAGCCGCGAGGUUAAGCGAAUCCCAUAAAACCAUUCUCAGUUCGGAUUGCAGG
rnacentral:rRNA from 1 species